GACGAACGCUGGCGGCGUGCUUAACACAUGCAAGUCGAACGGUAAGGCUCCAGCUUGCUGGGGUGCACGAGUGGCGAACGGGUGAGUAACACGUGGGUGACCUGCCCUGCACUUCGGGAUAAGCCUGGGAAACUGGGUCUAAUACCGGAUAGGACCGCACCGUGAGGGUGUGGUGGAAAGUUUUUUCGGUGUGGGAUGGGCCCGCGGCCUAUCAGCUUGUUGGUGGGGUAAUGGCCUACCAAGGCGGCGACGGGUAGCCGGCCUGAGAGGGUGGACGGCCACAUUGGGACUGAGACACGGCCCAGACUCCUACGGGAGGCAGCAGUGGGGAAUAUUGCACAAUGGGCGGAAGCCUGAUGCAGCGACGCCGCGUGGGGGAUGACGGCCUUCGGGUUGUAAACUCCUUUCACCAUCGACGAAGGGUUUCUGACGGUAGAUGGAGAAGAAGCACCGGCUAACUACGUGCCAGCAGCCGCGGUAAUACGUAGGGUGCGAGCGUUGUCCGGAAUUACUGGGCGUAAAGAGCUCGUAGGUGGUUUGUCGCGUCGUCUGUGAAAUUCCGGGGCUUAACUCCGGGCGUGCAGGCGAUACGGGCAUAACUUGAGUACUGUAGGGGAGACUGGAAUUCCUGGUGUAGCGGUGAAAUGCGCAGAUAUCAGGAGGAACACCGGUGGCGAAGGCGGGUCUCUGGGCAGUAACUGACGCUGAGGAGCGAAAGCAUGGGGAGCGAACAGGAUUAGAUACCCUGGUAGUCCAUGCCGUAAACGGUGGGCGCUAGGUGUGGGUUUCCUUCCACGGGAUCCGUGCCGUAGCUAACGCAUUAAGCGCCCCGCCUGGGGAGUACGGCCGCAAGGCUAAAACUCAAAGGAAUUGACGGGGGCCCGCACAAGCGGCGGAGCAUGUGGAUUAAUUCGAUGCAACGCGAAGAACCUUACCUGGGCUUGACAUAUACAGGAUCGCGCCAGAGAUGGUGUUUCCCUUGUGGCUUGUAUACAGGUGGUGCAUGGUUGUCGUCAGCUCGUGUCGUGAGAUGUUGGGUUAAGUCCCGCAACGAGCGCAACCCUUGUCUUAUGUUGCCAGCACGUUGUGGUGGGGACUCGUAAGAAACUGCCGGGGUUAACUCGGAGGAAGGUGGGGAUGACGUCAAAUCAUCAUGCCCCUUAUGUCCAGGGCUUCACACAUGCUACAAUGGUCGGUACAGUGGGUUGCCAGUCCGUGAGGGCGAGCUAAUCCCGCAAAGCCGGUCUCAGUUCGGAUCGGGGUCUGCAACUCGACCCCGUGAAGUCGGAGUCGCUAGUAAUCGCAGAUCAGCAACGCUGCGGUGAAUACGUUCCCGGGCCU
rnacentral:rRNA from 1 species